rnacentral:tRNA from 1 species
ACUUUUUUAGUAUAUACAAUUAUAUUUGACUUCCAAUCAAAAGAUCUCAUACGAGAAAAAGUA